AUGUGGGCACCUGAUAUCUAUGAGGGUUCACCCACCCCGGUGACAGCAUUCCUUUCUAUUGCGCCUAAAAUCUCUAUUUCUGCAAAUAUGUCACGUGUUUCUAUUGUUGCUUCCUAUGGGGGUACAUUACAACAAAUCUUCUUUUUCUGCAGCAUUGCUUCUAUGAUCUUAGGAGCACUGGCCGCCAUGGCCCAAACGAAAGUCAAAAGACCUCUAGCUCAUAGUUCGAUUGGACAUGUAGGUUAUAUUCGUACUGGUUUCUCAUGUGGAACCAUAGAAGGAAUUCAAUCACUACUAAUUGGUAUAUUUAUUUAUGCAUCAAUGACGAUAGAUGCAUUCGCCAUAGUUCCAGCAUUACGGCAAACCCGUGUCAAAUAUAUAGCGGAUUUGGGCGCUCUAGCCAAAACGAAUCCUAUUUCGGCUAUGACCUUCUCCAUUACAAUGUUCUCAUACGCAGGAAUACCCCCGUUAGCCGGCUUUUGUAGCAAAUUCUAUUUGUUCUUCGCCGCUUUGGGUUGUGGGGCUUACUUCCUAGCCCCAGUGGGAGUAGUGACUAGCAUUAUAGGUCGUUGGGCGGCCGGAAGGUUGCCAUAA
rnacentral:rRNA from 1 species